UUGUAAUUGGAAUGAUAGAAAUUUAAACCCUUUUUAAAGUAUCAAUUGGAGGGCAAGUCUGGUGCCAGCAGCCGCGGUAAUUCCAGCUCCAAUAGCGUAUAUUAAAAUUGUUGCAGUUAAAAAGCUCGUAGUUGAAGUUCUGCUAAAAGUAACCGGUCUGCUUUGAAUAAAAGUGGUAUCUUGGUAUGUAUUUAGCAAUGAUGUCCUUUGAAGUGUUUUUUACUUUAUUGUAAUAAAGCAUAUUCAGGACUUUUACUUUGAGAAAAUUAGAGUGUUUCUAGCAGGCCAACGCUUUGAAUACUGCAGCAUGGAAUAAUAAGAUAGGAUUUUAGUUCUACAUUAUUGGUUUUAAGAGCUAAAUUAAUGAUUGAUAGGGACAGUUGGGGGCAUUUGUAUUUAACUGUCAGAGGUGAAAUUCUUAGAUUUGUUAAAGACAAACUACUGCGAAAGCAUUUGCCAAAGAUGUUUUCAUUAAUCAAGAACGAAAGUUAGGGGAUCGAAGACGAUCAGAUACCGUCGUAGUCUUAACUAUAAACUAUGCCGACUAGAGAUUGGAGGUCG
rnacentral:rRNA from 2 species